rnacentral:rRNA from 1 species
UACAGAGGUCCCGAGCGUUGUUCGGAAUUACUGGGCGUAAAGGGCGCGUAGGCGGCCUUCUAAGUCAGACGUGAAAUCCCCCGGCUUAACCUGGGAACUGCGUCUGAUACUGGGAGGCUUGAGUAUGGGAAAGGGAUGUAGAAUUCCAGGUGUAGCGGUGAAAUGCGUAGAUAUCUGGAGGAAUACCGGUGGCGAAGGCGGCAUCCUGGACCAUAACUGACGCUGAGGCGCGAAAGCUAGGGGAGCAAACGGG